ACUAGUGUAUGUGGUCGUGACUGUUGUAAUCAUUGUCGUCAUCUCUGGGCUGGCGCUGACCAUCGUCUGUAUUCGGAGGAAGUGCAAACCUGAUGGUUUGAACACCGGAGGAAACUCAGACAGCAUAAACAUGGAGGUCGUCCCAGACUAUGAGAACUUUUCUCCAGAUUCCACCUUCGAGGACUCCACGUACCAGAGCCUCGAUCCAGCCAGCAGGCAUCAGGACCAGAUCUACUCUACUCUCUCACAAAUACAACAUAGAUGAGCUGGAAUCUGUUAAUGUGCCUCAGGGGUCCAGGUUGUACUCAGUGUUUCUGUAUUUUCAGUGCAGUUCUUAAUGCCAUGUGUAUGUUGUUAAAUUAGAGAAUGUGAUUCUCAUUUUUCUGGAGUGGUACUUCUUCACAGUGGGUUUUAUUUGCAUGUUUUCUUGGGUUGCAUUUAGUUGAUCUCUCUGGGCCACCGUACAUUUGUAGUCAGUAGAGUUUCUUUUUACAUGUUCCAUUGUGACACAUUAUCUAUAAUAUUAUCUUCUAUAAUAAGAGUUAUUUUUAUUAUUUAUAUAUCAGCUCUUAAGCAAACUUGACGUUAGUUUGAGAGCCUCUGUGUCGUCUGGUUUUUCACACAGUGCUGCUGUCGGUCUGAACACGGACUUUAACUUCUAAAAGUUCACGUCAUUAUCAAACAGUAUUUCAGUCCGGUGGCAGGUCACAUCUGAAUCAGAAUCA